CGCAAGCCUGACGGAGCAACGCCGCGUGAGGGAGGAAGGCCUGUGGGUCGUAAACCUCUUUUCUCAAGGAAGAAGUUCUGACGGUACUUGAGGAAUCAGCAUCGGCUAACUCCGUGCCAGCAGCCGCGGUAAGACGGAGGAUGCAAGCGUUAUCCGGAAUUAUUGGGCGUAAAGCGUCCGUAGGUGGUUUAGAAAGUCAGUUGUUAAAGCCCAUAGCUCAACUAUGGAUCGGCAAUUGAAACUACUAGACUAGAGUGUGGUAGGGGUAGAGGGAAUUCCUAGUGUAGCGGUGAAAUGCGUAGAUAUUAGGAAGAACACCAGUGGCGAAGGCGCUCUACUGGGCCAUAACUGACACUGAUGGACGAAAGCUAGGGGAGCG
rnacentral:rRNA from 1 species